AAAGUACUCCCUCCGUCCGGAAAUACUUGUCCUAGAAAUGAAUAAAAUACUUUUUAUUCAUUUCUAGGACAAGUAUUUCCGGACGGAGGGAGUAGUAA
rfam:Triticum aestivum genome assembly, contig: Triticum_aestivum_CS42_TGACv1_scaffold_131866_2BL